UCUAUGGGGAGAAAUCAGGGUAAGCGUUUCUCAGCUGCAAACACAGGUCAUUUUAAUGAAAAAGGUAGUAUGUCUCAGAGGCUUCCCAGAGGCUGGCCUGGAGAACGCUGGAGAACUCUUCCAAGAAGCCGAACUAGCAACACAUGCCCAGUGGAUUCUGGAAUUGCUGUGGAUCACUAACUGCUCUGUACCUUCUAGUCACUCGCCCCUUUUGAAUGCAAGUGUCUACCUCUAGCUUACAGAUGAACCACACCCAAGGAGUUAUGUCUGAGGGAAAAUUUCUGAAAAGCCCCAUCUGAAUUUGAACAUGAUUUAGAUGACAAGACGCCAUCAUGGGGUGAGGCUUUGGGAGUCCAGAGAGAGGUAGGUGUAAGUACAUUUUGCUUGUGAGGCAGGUGACUCCUUGAAGACCAGAAAGUACACUGUGAUAGCUGGGAGCUUCACCUCCUGGGAUUCAGGCCCCUAGGUGGCCAGUCCCCUCCCACAUUAAACUUGGUGAUUUGCUUUCUCUAUUAGAGUAGGGCAGAGGUAACAUCACGGCAGUUCUGCACACAAGCCUCAACAAGGCCAGACAGCUUCCACUCUGUACUUUGGGGAUCCCUGAGCUGCUGUAUAAGAAUAUCAGAUGCUCCGCUGGGGAGAUCAUAUGGAAAGGCCAUGUGCGGAGGGAAAAGCCCUGGAUUACGUGAAAACGAGGAGUGAAGCCUGGACUCCCAGCUGUCCCUCAAGGCGUCAGACAGUGAAUGAAGCCGUUUUGGACGUCAUAGUCCCAGCUGCCAUCCAGUUGCACCUGCAGGAGGGACCCCCAGUGAGACCAGCAGAGCUGUCCAGCUGAGUCCAUCAAUCUAUGGAGUCAUCAGCAAUGAUAGAAUUGUUGCUGAUUUCAGCCACUACUUCUGGAGUGGUAACAAAACAACACCUUUAUAAUGUGAAUCUACCUCAUGAACACGCUCAAUCUCUCCUUUAUUAGAUGUUCUUCCAUUUCUCCCCACAACGUUUUGUAGUUUUCUGUGUCACGGUCUUGAACAUUUUUUUAGUUUGGUUCUUAGACAUACGCUUUUUGUAUUCUGUUGAUAAAUAGUAUUAUGUGUAACAUUUUAUUUUCUAAUUGCUUAUUGUCAGGUUAUAGAAAUUUAAUUAUAUGUGGAAAUGAACUACAUGAUUUUGUUUAUUGACCAUCUAUGCAGUGAGCUUGUUCAAUUCUCCUUUUAAUUCUAAUAGUUUAUCUGCAGACAUCUUUGAUUUUUCUACCUAUGAAAUUAUAUUAUAUAUGAAUAAUGACAGAUUUCUUUCUCUUUCUAAUCCUAAAGAUUUAUUUCUCUUUCUAAUCUAAUUAGAAUUUCUAAUUCUAAAUCCUAAUCUAAUCCUUUUUUCCUGUUGCUCUGGCUAGAACCUCUAAUAUAAUGUUGAACUGAAGAAACCAUUCUUGUCUUGUUCCUGAUUUUACAGGAAAAGCUUUCAAUAUUUACCUAUUAAAUAUGAUAUUACUUGUGGGUUUUUUUUUUAGAUAUUUUGGGGAAGGCAAGAGUUUUUAUUAUAAAUGAAUGUUGAGUUUUAUCAAAAGCUUUAUAAAAAACUUUUUAUGCAUCUACUGAGAUAGUCAUAUAAUAUUUUUUCUUUUAUCUCUUACUGUGGUGAAUUUAAACAUUGAUUUUUAAAUUCAAAACCAAUCUCAUGUAUCUGAAAUAAACCCAGCUUCUCUUUUUAAAUCUAUCACUGGACUUGAUUUGUUAUUGUUUUUUAGCAUUUUUGCAUGUAUGUUAUAAGAGAGAGUGACCUGUAACUUCUUUCCUUGUAUGUCAUUGUCUGGUUUAGGUAUCAAGCUUAUGUGGGUCUCAUAAAAAGUACUUCUUUUGCUAUUUUCUGGAAAAGUUUACAUAAGAUUGAUUUUAUUAUCUCUUUAAAUAUUUGGUAGAACUCACUAGUAAAUCAUCUAAGUUGGCAAAGAUUUUCAUUAUAGGUUCAGUUCCUUUAACAGAUGUAGAUUUAUUUUUUUUAUUUUUUUUAAAUUGAAGUAUAGUUGAUUUACAGUGUUGUGUUAGUUUCAGGUGUACAGCAAAAUGAUUCAGUUAUACUUAUACAGAUGUAGAUUUAAAUCCUAUUUCUUACUGGGUUUUCUAGGAAUUUGUCCAUAUCUAAAUUUUCAAAAUUACUGGCAUAAAAUUAUUCACAGAGACAUCUUAUGAUCUUUUCAACGACUUCAUUCCUGAAAUUGCUUAUUUGCACGUUCUCUCCCUCUCUCUCUCUCUUCUUGAUUAGACUGGCCAGGUGUUUGUCAACUUAAUAGUCUUUUUUUUUUAAAUGAUAGAACUUUUAGAUCAGACAAACUUCAUUGGAUGUUUGUUUUGUUUUCUACUUUGUUCUUUAUUAUUUACCUUCUCUACUUUCUUUGAGUUUUCUGUUGUUUCGAACUUCUUGAAAUGGAGACUUAGAUCAUUCAUUUUCAGUUUUUCUACUUUUCUAGUAGAUGCAAUUAAACCUAUAAAUCUCCCUUGAAGCAUAGCUUUGGAUGCAGCCUACAAGUUUUGUUUGUUUUUAAUUUAUUUAAUUAAUUUAUUUAUUAUCUUUGGCUGCGUUGGGUCUUUGUUGCUGCGCAUGGGGUUUCUCUAGUUGCGGCGAGCGGAGGCUCCUCUUCUUUGCGGUGCACGGGCCUCUCAUUGUGGUGGUCUCUCUUGUUGUGGAGCACGGGCUCUAGGUGCGUGGGCUUCAUUAGUUGCAGCACAUGGGCUCAGUAAUUGUAGCUUACGGGCUCCAGAGCACAGGCUCAGUAGCUGUGGUGCACGGGCCCAGUUGCUCCACAGCAUGUAGGAUCUUCCUGGACCAGAGCUCAAACCCAUGUCCCCUGCAUUGGCAGGCAGAUCCCUAACCACUGCACCACCAGGGAAGCCCCAGCCUACAAGUUUUGAUGUCUCAUAUUUUCAAUACACUCAAUUAAAAAUAUAUUCAAAUACCUACUGUGAUUUUUGAUUUGAUCCACUGGGUUAUUUAGUAAUGUAGCAUUAAUUGUUAAAAUUGUGGGAUUUUCAUAUUGGUAUGUUUAUUAGCAGCUUAAUUACAUUGUGGUCUGAGAACAUUCUCUGCACUAUUUGUUUCUGAUGUUUGUUAAGACUUCCUUGAUGGCCAAGUAUAUGGUCAAAUUUUUUAUAAUGUUCUAUAUGUACCAGGAAAAAAAUGUGUAGUCUGCAGUUGUUGGGUGCAUUUUCCAAUAUGUAUAUGUCAAUUAUGUCAAGCUUGUUAAUCAUGUUGCUUAAAUCCUCACAUUUUUACUAUUUUUUGUCUGCUCAUUCUAUUUAUAGCCUCUAGUGAAGGACAGUCUCUACAGUACUCUACAGUACAGUACUAUACAGACUUAUCUAGUAUACAUAAGUGAAGAUCCUAGAUAAGUCUUAUUUUUCCUCCCAAAGCUUAGCUAUUCAAGACAUGGUUAGAAAUCAGGUGCGCGUGAUUCCAUACAAUUUAUUGUCCUGACUGGCACGUUUUAUAGGCAUCAGGGGAUGGAGUACCUCUCCAUCAACUGAAGACACUUAACUAGAGCAAGUAAAACAAAACCAGAAACGCAGCGUAGCUUCGUCAGAAAGCUUUUCAGUUCCUGAUUUGUGUUCUAACUUGUCCUGAAGUACAUAAUGAAGGAGUGUGACAGGAUGGUCAGGAUGGGGACACUGAGACAACACUGUCACUGAGAAAAGUCACGUGACAAGUGCUAACAGUCCAAAUCCUAAUAUUCCAUUUGCGGCGCUGACACUAAGAUUAAAUUAAGACUGCACCUGCAGAAAACACGGCUGUCCUGGGAUGGGCCUCCUACGGGAUGUUUGUGUGUCUAAGCUGAAUGUUUUCAACAUCUCUUUCCAGUUGCUCAACAGAGGAUUAAUGAACAUAACUCCAUUUAAUGUGAUGAAUGUCUCAAAAAUAUAUCUUAUUCUAGAAUUCAUAAAAGACCCUGACUUCCUAUCGAAAGGCCUUCAAAAAACAAGGUAAAGAACAUCAAAUCAUAUCUAAGUAUAAAAAUUGAAUUUUUUUUUAUUAUUAUUAUUUUUUUGCGGUACACGGGCCUCUCACUGUUGUGGCCUCUCACGUUGCAGAGCACAGGCUCUGGACGCGCAGGCUCAGUGGCCAUGGCUCACGGGCCCAGCCGCUCCGCGGCAUGUGAGAUCUUCCCAGACCGGGGCACGGACCUGUGUCCCCUGCAUUGGCAGGCCGACUCUCAACCACUGCGCCACCAGGGAAGCCCUGAAAUUUUAAUUUAGAUAUUAGAUUCAAUAACGAAUCUUGGUCAAUGAAUGUUUAUUUUAAAAGAAAAUUCAUGCACCGCAGCCUUCCUACUAAUGAUAGGAGACGACAUAGCUAUUUAAAAUAUUGAAUUAAUGCAAAUUAAGUUGUAAAUGUGGAUGCCCUUCACUUAGUACAAAUAUUUUACCCUUCCUCUAUUCUCAGAAAUAUUUUGUGUUAGGCCAUCAUAGACAAAUCUGUUCCCUUUAUGGACUCACUUUUCAAAUCAUUGUAAAAGAAGGGAAAUAAACUGCUUAGCUUAUAUGA